rnacentral:rRNA from 1 species
AAGACUUGCAAGUCGAGCGAAUGGAUUAAGAGCUUGCUUCCUAUGAAGUUAGCGGCGGACGGGUGAGUAACACGUGGGUAACCUGCCCGUAAGACUGGGAUAACUCCGGGAAACCGGGGCUAAUACCGGAUAACAUUUUGAACCGCAUGGUUCAAAAUUGAAAGGCGGCUUCGGCUGUCACUUAUGGAUGGACCCGCGUCGCAUUAGCUAGUUGGUGAGGUAACGGCUCACCAAGGCAACGAUGCGUAGCCGACCUGAGAGGGUGAUCGGCCACACUGGGACUGAGACACGGCCCAGACUCCUACGGGAGGCAGCAGUAGGGAAUCUUCCGCAAUGGACGAAAGUCUGACGGAGCAACGCCGCGUGAGUGAUGAAGGCUUUCGGGUCGUAAAACUCUGUUGUUAGGGAAGAACAAGUGCUAGUUGAAUAGCCUGGCACCUUGACGGUACCUAACCAGAAAGCCACGGCUAACUACUUGCCAGCAGCCGCGGUAAUACGUAGGUGGCAAGCGUUAUCCGGAAUUAUUGGGCGUAAAGCGCGCGCAGGUGGUUUCUUAAUUCUGAUGUGAAAGCCCACGGCUCAACCGUGAAGGGUCAUUGAAAACUGGGAAACUUGAUUGCAAAAAAGGAAAGUGAAAUUCCAUGUGUAGCGGUGAAAUGCGUAAAGAUAUGAAGGAACACCAUUGGCAAAGGCGACUUUCUGGUCUGUAACUGACACUGAGGCGCGAAAGCGUGGGAAGCAAACAGGAUUAGAUACCCUGGUAGUCCACGCCGUAAACGAUAAGUGCUAAUUGUUAAAGGGUUUCCGCCCUUUAGUGCUGAAGUUAACGCAUUAACCACUCCGCCUGGGGAGUACGGCCGCAAGGCUGAAACUCAAAGGAAUUGACGGGGGCCCGCACAACCGGUGAAGCAUGUUGUUUAAUUCAAAGCAACGCGAAAAACCUUACCAGGUCUUGACUUCCUCUGAAAACCCUA